GCGAGGGUGGCCGAGUGGUCUAAGGCGCUGCAUUCAAGUCGCAGUAUCGAAAGAUGCAUGGGUUCGAGUCCCAUCCUUCGCA
rnacentral:tRNA from 2 species